UUGCUCAACCUUCACAGUGAGCUCGCCCUCAGCCAUGGCGGGUGCCGCCUCCACCUCCCCUUGGUGCUCGCCGAGCUCGCCCUCAGCCCUGUCGCGCCCCUGCUUCCUGUUCCCAGUGCGCCCUCUGUUCUGUUCCAACCGUUCUCCACGCCGUGUUCCCCCCCAUGGCUCUCCUUGCCUCUCCGGUCAGCACUAGCCCGAACGGUACAACAGCAUACCGGUGCCAAACCCGUGUCCGCGACGCUCGCCAAGUGCUCGAUGAAAUACCGCAGUGAGCUCCACCUCGACCUGUGCAGCCCCAACCCGCGACGUCACAACACCCUUGCCCUCCGUCGAUGUCGCGCUUCGCGCAUUGCUCCUCGACAAAGAGCCAGAACCGUGGUAGACAUGCAUGCGCAAUCUGAACUAAUUUCACCAAGUUGUUUGCUUUAUGUGAUUGUAGUUUGGUCUAAUUACAUGUGGUCGAUGGCGUGA
rnacentral:misc_RNA from 1 species